rnacentral:rRNA from 1 species
GUUGUAUGGUUAAGUGACUAAGCGUACACGGUGGAUGCCUUGGCAGUCAGAGGCGAUGAAAGACGUAGUAACUUGCGAUAAGCCCAGAUUAGGUAGUAACAACCAUUUGAGUCUGGGAUUUCUGAAUGGGGAAACCCACGUGCAUAAGCACGUAUCCUUACCUGAAUACAUAGGGUAAGGAGGCGAACCGGGGGAACUGAAACAUCUAAGUACCCCGAGGAAAAGAAAUCAACCGAGAUUCCGAAAGUAGCGGCGAGCGAAAUUGGACUAGCCCUUAAGCUUUACACGCGUUAGACGAACGGUCUGGAAAGUCCGACGAUACAGGGUGAUAGUCCCGUAGUUGACGACGUGUGUUCAGUGAAAUCGAGUAGGGCGGGACACGUGAUAUCCUGUCUGAAUAUGGGGGGACCAUCCUCCAAGGCUAAAUACUACUGACUGACCGAUAGUGAACCAGUACCGUGAGGGAAAGGCGAAAAGAACCCCUGUGAGGGGAGUGAAAUAGAACCUGAAACCGUGUACGUACAAGCAGUAGGAGCAGGCUUGUCCUGUGACUGCGUACCUUUUGUAUAAUGGGUCAGCGACUUAUAUUCAGUGGCAAGGUUAACCAUCUAGGGGAGCCGUAGGGAAACCGAGUCUUAACUGGGCGUUCAGUCUCUGGAUAUAGACCCGAAACCAGGUGAUCUAGCCAUGGGCAGGUUGAAGGUUGAGUAACAUCAACUGGAGGACCGAACCGACUAAUGUUGAAAAAUUAGCGGAUGACUUGUGGCUAGGGGUGAAAGGCCAAUCAAACCUGGAGAUAGCUGGUUCUCCCCGAAAGCUAUUUAGGUAGCGCCUCGGACGAAUACUACUGGGGGUAGAGCACUGUUAAGGCUAGGGGGUCAUCCCGACUUACCAACCCUUUGCAAACUCCGAAUACCAGUAAGUACUAUCCGGGAGACACACGGCGGGUGCUAACGUCCGUCGUGGAGAGGGAAACAACCCAGACCGCCAGCUAAGGUCCCAAAUUACUACUAAGUGGGAAACGAUGUGGGAAGGCUCAGACAGCCAGGAUGUUGGCUUAGAAGCAGCCAUCAUUUAAAGAAAGCGUAAUAGCUCACUGGUCGAGUCGGCCUGCGCGGAAGAUGUAACGGGGCUAAGUAGUAAACCGAAGCUGCGGCAAUAUACUUUUGUAUAUUGGGUAGGGGAGCGUUCUGUAAGCGGUUGAAGGUGUGUGGUAACGCAUGCUGGACGUAUCAGAAGUGCGAAUGCUGACAUGAGUAACGAUAAAGGGGGUGAAAAACCUCCUCGCCGGAAGACCAAGGGUUCCUGUCCAACGUUAAUCGGGGCAGGGUAAGUCGACCCCUAAGGCGAGGCCGAAAGGCGUAGUCGAUGGGAAACGGGUUAAUAUUCCCGUACUUCUUACAAUUGCGAUGGGGGGACGGAGAAGGCUAGGUGGGCCUGGCGACGGUUGUCCAGGUUCAAGUGCGUAGGCUUAAGAGUUAGGUAAAUCCGGCUCUUUUUAAGGCUGAGACACGACGUCGAGCACCUACGGGUGUGAAGUCAUUGAUGCCAUGCUUCCAGGAAAAGCCUCUAAGCUUCAGAUUGUAAGGAAUCGUACCCCAAACCGACACAGGUGGUCGGGUAGAGAAUACCAAGGCGCUUGAGAGAACUCGGGUGAAGGAACUAGGCAAAAUGGUACCGUAACUUCGGGAGAAGGUACGCUCUCGACGGUGAAGUCCCUCGCGGAUGGAGCUAUUGAGAGUCGCAGAUACCAGGUGGCUGCAACUGUUUAUUAAAAACACAGCACUGUGCAAAAUCGUAAGAUGACGUAUACGGUGUGACGCCUGCCCGGUGCCGGAAGGUUAAUUGAUGGGGUUAGACUUCGGUCGAAGCUCUUGAUCGAAGCCCCGGUAAACGGCGGCCGUAACUAUAACGGUCCUAAGGUAGCGAAAUUCCUUGUCGGGUAAGUUCCGACCUGCACGAAUGGCGUAAUGAUGGCCACGCUGUCUCCACCCGAGACUCAGUGAAAUUGAAAUCGCUGUGAAGAUGCAGUGUACCCGCGGCUAGACGGAAAGACCCCGUGAACCUUUACUACAGCUUGGCACUGAACAUUGACCCUACAUGUGUAGGAUAGGUGGGAGGCUUUGAAGCACGUACGCCAGUAUGUGUGGAGCCGUCCUUGAAAUACCACCCUUGUAGUGUUGAUGUUCUAACGUCGACCCCUUAUCGGGGUUGCGGACAGUGCCUGGUGGGUAGUUUGACUGGGGCGGUCUCCUCCCAAAGAGUAACGGAGGAGCACGAAGGUGGGCUAAUCACGGUUGGACAUCGUGAGGUUAGUGCAAUGGCAUAAGCCCGCUUGACUGCGAGAAUGACAAUUCGAGCAGGUGCGAAAGCAGGUCAUAGUGAUCCGGUGGUUCUGAAUGGAAGGGCCAUCGCUCAACGGAUAAAAGGUACUCCGGGGAUAACAGGCUGAUACCGCCCAAGAGUUCAUAUCGACGGCGGUGUUUGGCACCUCGAUGUCGGCUCAUCACAUCCUGGGGCUGAAGUCGGUCCCAAGGGUAUGGCUGUUCGCCAUUUAAAGUGGUACGCGAGCUGGGUUUAGAACGUCGUGAGACAGUUCGGUCCCUAUCUGCCGUGGGCGUUGGAAGAUUGAAGGGGGCUGCUCCUAGUACGAGAGGACCGGAGUGGACGAACCUCUGGUGUUCGGGUUGUGUCGCCAGACGCAUUGCCCGGUAGCUAAGUUCGGAAUCGAUAACCGCUGAAAGCAUCUAAGCGGGAAGCGAGCCCUGAGAUGAGUCUUCCCUGAUACUUUAAGUAUCCUAAAGGGUUGUCGGAGACUACGACGUUGAUAGGUCAGGUGUGUAAGUGCUGUGAGGCAUUGAGCUAACUGAUACUAAUUGCCCGUGAGGCUUAACCAUACAACACCCAAGGGGUUU